rnacentral:rRNA from 1 species
GACGAACGCUGGCGGCGUGCUUAACACAUGCAAGUCGAACGGAAAGGCCCUGCUCUUGUGGGGUGCUCGAGUGGCGAACGGGUGAGUAACACGUGAGUAACCUGCCCUUGACUUUGGGAUAACUUCAGGAAACUGGGGCUAAUACCGGAUAGGAGCUCCUGCUGCAUGGUGGGGGUUGGAAAGUUUCGGCGGUUGGGGAUGGACUCGCGGCUUAUCAGCUUGUUGGUGGGGUAGUGGCUUACCAAGGCUUUGACGGGUAGCCGGCCUGAGAGGGUGACCAGCCACAUUGGGACUGAGAUACGGACCAGACUCCUACGGGAGGCAGCAGUGGGGAAUAUUGCACAAUGGGCGGAAGCCUGAUGCAGCAACGCCGCGUGCGGGAUGACGGCCUUCGGGUUGUAAACCGCUUUCGCCUGUGACGAAGCGUGAGUGACGGUAAUGGGUAAAGAAGCACCGGCUAACUACGUG